rnacentral:rRNA from 1 species
GUGGGGAAUCUUAGACAAUGGGGGAAACCCUGAUCUAGCCAUGCCGCGUGAGCGAUGAAGGCCUUAGGGUUGUAAAGCUCUUUCAGCUGGGAAGAUAAUGACGGUACCAGCAGAAGAAGCCCCGGCUAACUCCGUGCCAGCAGCCGCGGUAAUACGGAGGGGGCUAGCGUUGUUCGGAAUUACUGGGCGUAAAGCGCGCGUAGGCGGACCAGAAAGUUGGAGGUGAAAUCCCAGGGCUCAACCUUGGAACUGCCUUCAAAACUCCUGGUCUGGAGUUCGAGAGAGGUGGGUGGAAUUCCGAGUGUAGAGGUGAAAUUCGUAGAUAUUCGGAGGAACACCAGUGGCGAAGGCGGCUCACUGGCUCGAUACUGACGCUGAGGUGCGAAAGCGUGGGGAGCAAACAGGAUUAGAAACCCCGGUAGUCC